AUUGAACGCUAGCGGGAUGCUUUACACAUGCAAGUCGAACGCGUGGCGGAGGGGUGAGUAAUAUAUCGGAACGUGCCCAGUAGCGGGGGAUACCUAGUCGAAAGAGUGGCUAAUACCGCAUACUAUUGAAGAGGCCGUUAUGGGAUUAGGUAGUUGGUGGGGUAAAGGCUCACCAAGGCAAAGAUCCGUAGCUGGUUUGAGAGGACGACCAGCCACACUGGUACUGAGACACGGCCCAGACUCCUACGGGAGGCAGCAGUGGGGAAUGUUUGACAAUGGGGGAAACCCUGAUCCAGCCAUCCCGCGUGUAUGAGAAGGCCUUCGGGUUGUAAAGUACUUUUGGCAGAGAAGCGGUAUCUGCAGAAUAAGCACCGGCUAACUACGUGCCAGCAGCCGCGGUAAUAC
rnacentral:rRNA from 1 species